rnacentral:tRNA from 1 species
ACGAUUGAUGACUCAGUGGUAGAGUUCUUGCCUGCCAUGCAAAAGGCCUGGGUUCAAUUCCUGGUCAAGGUA